UACAGAGGGGGCAAGCGUUAUUCGGAAUUAUUGGGCGUAAAGGGCGCGUAGGCGGCCGUGCAAGUGGAAGGUGGAAUCCCUCGGCUCAACCGAGGAACUGCCUUUCAAACUGCAUGGCUUGAGUCCGGGAGAGGUGAGUGGAAUUCCCAGUGUAGCGGUGAAAUGCGUAGAUAUUGGGAGGAACACCAGUGGCGAAGGCGGCUCACUGGACCGGAACUGACGCUGAGGCGCGAAAGCGUGGGGAGCAAACGGG
rnacentral:rRNA from 1 species